ensembl:lncRNA
AGAACAUCCCCACAGCAUGAUGCUGCCACCACGAUGCUUCACCAUAGGGAUGGUACGAGAACAGCCUCAAUGUGUCGGGGCAUGAACUUUACAAGGUCUCCAAAGCAUUCCACAGGGAUGCUGGCCCAUGUUGACUCCAAUGCUUCCCACAGUUGUAUCAAGUUGGCUUGAUGUCCUUUGGGUGGUGGACCAUUCUUGAUAGACACGGGGAACUGGCCCUCCCCUCUCCCCUGUGUCAUUGACGGCCAACCGGCGUACACGGUGAGGCGUCUCCUGAAAGUUCGACCACGGGGCAGGGGAUUCCAGUACCUGGUUGACUGGGAGGGUUCUGGCCUGGAGGAGAGGUGCUGGGUCCCCUCUAGGGACAUCCUGGACCCAACCCUCAUUGCUGAUUUCCAAUGCAGGCACCCCAGUCAACCAGG